rnacentral:rRNA from 1 species
CCUACGGGUGGCAGCAGUGAGGAAUAUUGGUCAAUGGGCGGGAGCCUGAACCAGCCAAGUCGCGUGAGGGAAGAAGGUACUGAGUAUUGUACACCUCUUUUGCCAGGGGACAAAGACGGCCACGGGUGUCCGUAAGAGGAUACCUGGAGAAACAGCAUCGGCUAACUCCGUGCCAGCCGGCGCAGUAAUACGGGGGAUGCGAGCGUUAUACGGAUUUAGUGGGUUUAAAGGGUGCGCAGUCGGCGUGUCAAGUCAGCGGUAAAAUGUCGGGGCUCAACCCCAGCCGGCCGUUGAAACUGGCGUGCUCGAGUUGGAGAGAAGUAUGCGGAAUUCGUGGUGUAGCGGUGAAAUGCAUAGAGAUCACGAAGAACCCCGAUUGCGAAGGCAGCAUACCGGCUCCACACUGACGCUGAGGCACGAAAGCGUGGGUAUCGAACAGGAUUAGAUACCCCUGUAGUC